AUCUAUCUGAAGAGUCCUAAAUAGAACGAAAUGCGCGUCCUGGAU
rnacentral:hammerhead_ribozyme from 1 species